UCCUUCGUAGUGUAGGGGUUAUCAUUCUCGCCUUUCACGCGAGCGACCCGGGUUCGAUUCCCGGCGUGGGAA
rnacentral:tRNA from 1 species